rnacentral:tRNA from 1 species
GCCAGAGUGGUGAAAUUGGCAAACACGCACGGUUCAGAGCCGUGUGCCUAAAAAGCUUGUGGGUUCAAGUCCCACCUCUGGCA